ensembl:rRNA 5S_rRNA 5S ribosomal RNA
GUCUACGGCCAUACCACCCUGAAUGCGCCGGAUCUCGUCAGAUCUCAGAAGCUAAGCAGGGUCGGCCUGGUUAGAACUUGGUUGGGAGAAGUUUGGUUAUGGGACCCCUGAACU